rnacentral:rRNA from 1 species
AGCGAACGCUGGCGGCAGGCUUAAAACAUGCCAGUCGAGCGGGCAUCCUUGUGGUGUCAGCGGCAGACGGGUGAGUAAAGCGUGGGAACGUGCCCUUCGGUUCGGAAUAACUCAGGGGAACUUGAGCUAAUACCGGAUACGUGCGAGAGCAGAAAGGUUUAUCUGCCGAAGGAUCGGCCCGCGUCUGAUUAGCUAGUUGGUGAGGUUACGGCUCACCAAGGCGACGAUCAGUGGCUGGUCUGAGAGGAUGAUCAGCCACACUGGGACUGAGACACGGCCCAGACUCCUACGGGAGGCAGCAGUGGGGAAUAUUGGACAAUGGGGGCAACCCUGAUCCAGCCAUGCCGCGUGAGUGAUGACGGCCUUAGGGUUGUAAAGCUCUUUUCUCCGGGACGAUAAUGACGGUACCGGAGGAAUAAGCCCCGGCUAACUUCGUG